GGAAAACUCGGAGAGUCUAACGUGAAACGAGAAUUUUGAUCUGUGAAACUAGUCGACUUUUGUUUCUCAUGUUAAUGAAAGCGAUCUCCGUUAUUUCUAAAACAGGACGAUAGACGAAAGUACCUCAGAAAAGGACAAGGUUACCCUUGUGGAACCGAGCUGGCUACGUCACGACGCCAGGCGUCCUCGUAUCGAGCCCAGAGCAGCUUUUUUCUGACGUCCCGUACCAAUUUACUUUCGCUUGGGCACAACGCCAUGACUUUCACGCCGCUUAAGUCCACGUGGUACUGAUGCUAUAGCAAACAACAACAACAAUUCUUAUUGAGGAAAUGAAGAAUGAAGAAAAAUUCUGAACGAAGAAAGAAAAUGAAUCAUGUUGACAGGCUUACCCCGAACGCUCUGGUGAAAUUGACGAUGGCUGCUUUAGUGGCGGAAUAUAUUGGAACACUGGCGUAGGGAUUGAUGCUGACAUCGCUUCCGAUAUUAACCACGAUCCCACCGCGACCACCCCUGUC